GUCGCAAGACCAAAGUGGGGGACCUUCGGGCCUCAUGCCAUCAGAUGUGCCCAGAUGGGAUUAGCUAGUAGGUGGGGUAACGGCUCACCUAGGCGACGAUCCCUAGCUGGUCUGAGAGGAUGACCAGCCACACUGGAACUGAGACACGGUCCAGACUCCUACGGGAGGCAGCAGUGGGGAAUAUUGCACAAUGGGCGCAAGCCUGAUGCAGCCAUGCCGCGUGUGUGAAGAAGGCCUUCGGGUUGUAAAGCACUUUCAGCGGGGAGGAAGGCGUUAAGGUUAAUAACCUUGGCGAUUGACGUUACCCGCAGAAGAAGCACCGGCUAACUCCGUGCCAGCAGCCGCGGUAAUACGGAGGGUGCAAGCGUUAAUCGGAAUUACUGGGCGUAAAGCGCACGCAGGCGGUCUGUCAAGUCGGAUGUGAAAUCCCCGGGCUCAACCU
rnacentral:rRNA from 1 species